CUACGGGAGGCUGCAGUGGGGAAUAUUGGACAAUGGGGGAAACCCUGAUCCAGCAAUGCCGCGUGUGUGAAGAAGGCCUGCGGGUUGUAAAGCACUUUCGGUUGGGAGGACUGCUUCUAGCACUAAUAUUGUUGGAAGUUGACGUUACCUUCAGAAGAAGCACCGGCUAACUCAGUGCCAGCAGCCGCGGUAAUACGGAGAGGUGCAAGCGUUAAUCGGAAUUACUGGGCGUAAAGCGCGCGCAGGCGGCUAGAUCAGUCGGGUGUGAAAGCCCCGGGCUUAACCUGGGAACUGCAUCCGAUACUGUCUAGCUUGAGUACAGGAGAGGGGAGUGGAAUUCCACAUGUAGCGGUGAAAUGCGUAGAUAUGUGGAGGAACACCAAUGGCGAAGGCAGCUCUCUGGCCUGAUACUGACGCUGAGGUGCGAAAGCGUGGGGAGCAAACAGGAUUAGAUACCCCGGUAGUC
rnacentral:rRNA from 1 species